AAGUCGUAACAAGGUUUCCGUAGGUGAACCUGCGGAAGGAUCAUUAAUGAAAUGAUAAUUUUUUUGGGGUUUUUAAUCUCAAAAAAUAAUUCACCUUUUGUGCAUUGUUAUUAGAUAUACUUUGGUUAGAGCUUUGAUUUCAUUUAUUGGGAUCAACUUCUUGCUGACUCUAUCCUUUCCGAGGACAGUUGGCUAUGAAGCGGCCUACCAAGGUUUUUUAUCAAACUCUUGUAUUUUUGUCUGACCUAAACUAUUAUAAUUAAAUCAUAACUUUCAACAACGGAUCUCUUGGCUCUC
rnacentral:misc_RNA from 1 species